AUCUAGCUGACGAGUCCCAAAUAGGACGAACCUCAUGACCUGGAU
rnacentral:hammerhead_ribozyme from 1 species